AUAUGGGGCACUUCUAACAUGAGCUUCACUGAAAAAAGCUUAUGAAAAGCUUUUACCAAAAUAUCUAACGAUAUUGGUAAAUCCUUAGAAAUAUUGGUAAAGCCAAUAUUGGUAAAUCGUUAGAAAUAUUAGUAAAAGCUUUUUCUAAGCCAUUUUUAGUGGAGCUCAUGCUAGAAUUUCCCAUGA
rnacentral:pre_miRNA from 1 species